GUCCACGCCUUAAACGAUGGGUACUAGGUGUUCGGGGUGUUGACCCCCUGAGUGCCGCAGCUAACGCACUAAGUACCCCGCCUGGGGACUACGGCCGCAAGGUUAAAACUCAAAGGAAUUGACGGGGGCCCGCACAAGCGGUGGAGCAUGCUGUUCAAUUCGACGCGACGCGAAGAACCUUACCUGGGCUAGACAACGGCGGACCGCCUGAGAAAUCAGGCUUUCCCUUCGGGGACUGCCGGUUCAGGUGUUGCAUGGCUGUCGU
rnacentral:rRNA from 1 species